rnacentral:antisense_RNA from 2 species
UGUGGGAGCGGGCUUGCUCGCGAUAGCGGUGUGUCAGGCGACAUGAUUGCUGACUGACACGCCCUCAUCGCGAGCAAGCUCGCUCCCACA